UGGUGUGGUGGAAGGUUGACCAGGUUGGAACAAGAUGAUUUUUCGUGUCCCUGCCAAGCCAAACCAUUCAAGGAUUUGAGCAUUCGACAAUCCCAAUCUCCCACUGCGGAGUGGCCCUGGACCUCCUGUGACAUCAGAGCUGCCAGAGCUGUGCCCGUGUUCCAUGUGGAACUGCCAGGGCCCGGCGACGAGCACAACGCAGCCAUUCCCCUGCUGCCAGCGAACCGUCAGCAGCUCCCAGCGCACCCUCGUCAGGUGAUCCCUGAGAGACUCGUGAGUCCUGGACUCAACCUACUCUCUGGAGCUCUGCAGCCAUCCCAGCAGGAUGGGCAACCUCCUCCCAGUCAAGACUGCCGGAGAUACAGAGGAAGAGAUGGAUGUGGACGUUGUGGUGGAUGCAGAGGAGAUGAUGGAGGUGGACAUCCAAGAGUUUGAUGAAGAGAUGGAGGUCGAUGUGGUGGAGGAGAUGGAGGACAUGGAUGUUGACCAGCAAGAUGAGGAGGAGGACAUGGUGCUGGGAUGAGGACAGUCCCCCAGCAGCAGAACAGGCACGUCCUGGCCAUGCCCUGCCCCGGGGUCACCUGCUGGGUGUGCCAGGCUGGGGGCACAGGGAACACCCAGCAGGGCCCGACUGCACUCACCGUGCCCUUGCUUUUCUUCCAGGAUUGACGGACCUGCCGGCCAUGGAAUUGGCCCCUCUGUACAUAUGUUUUUCAUUUUUUUCUGUAAAUAUGUUUUACAUUAUUCACUUUUUAAGAAGAUUGUAGUUUAGAUAGAGAAAAUAGUUUAAGAAGAUAGAUUUUUAAUAAGAAGAUAGUUUUUUCAUAAGACAAUAGGUUUUUUAAGAAGAUAAGUUUUCUUUUAAAGAAGAUAGAUUUUUAUUUAAGAAGAUAGUUUUUUAUUAAGAUGAUAGUUUUUUAAAGAAGAUAAGGUUUCUUUUUAAGAAGAUAGUUUUUUACUAAGUAGAUAUUUUUAUUUAGAAGAUAGUUGUUUUUAUUAAGAAGAUAUUUUUAUUAAGAAGAUAGUUGUUUUUUCAAGAAGAUAAUUGUUUUUA